rnacentral:snoRNA from 1 species
AUUCCAUGAUGAGGGCACUUUCGUAAUAAGUCUUUGUACCUUUCCCAUGCCUCAUACAAGGACUCAUCAUCAUUUUUUGGAAGGCAGUGAUCUCGUUCCUCGACU